UGAGUACUAUGUUGGCAUGUGUAUACUGUAUGUCCACGCUGCACUCUAGCUCUAGGUAAUGUUCCUGUAUGGCCUAGCGGGGUCCUGGGUUAUGUGAGUACUAUGUUGGCAUGUGUAUACUGUAUGUCCACGCUGCACUCUAGCUCUAGGUAAUGUUCCUGUAUGGCCUAGCGGGGUCCUGGGUUAUGUGAGUACUAUGUUGGCAUGUGUAUACUGUAUGUCCACGCUGCACUCUAGCUCUAGGUAAUGUUCCUGUAUGGCCUAGCGGGGUCCUGGGUUAUGUGAGUACUAUGUUGGCAUGUGUAUACUGUAUGUCCACGCUGCACUCUAGCUCUAGGUAAUGUUCCUGUAUGGCCUAGCGGGGUCCUGGGUUAUGUGAGUACUAUGUUGGCAUGUGUAUACUGUAUGUCCACGCUGCACUCUAGCUCUAGGUAAUGUUCCUGUAUGGCCUAGCGGGGUCCUGGGUUAUGUGAGUACUAUGUUGGCAUGUGUAUACUGUAUGUCCACGCUGCACUCUAGCUCUAGGUAAUGUUCCUGUAUGGCCUAGCGGGGUCCUGGGUUAUGUGAGUACUAUGUUGGCAUGUGUAUACUGUAUGUCCACGCUGCACUCUAGCUCUAGGUAAUGUUCCUGUAUGGCCUAGCGGGGUCCUGGGUUAUGUGAGUACUAUGUUGGUAUGUGUAUACUGUAUGUCCACGCUGCACUCUAGCUCUAGGUAAUGUUCCUGUGUGGCCUAGCGGGGUCCUGGGUUAUGUGAGUACUAUGUUGGCAUGUGUAUACUGUAUGUCCACGCUGCACUCUAGCUCUAGGUAAUGUUCCUGUAUGGCCUAGCGGGGUCCUGGGUUAUGUGAGUACUAUGUUGGCAUGUGUAUACUGUAUGUCCACGCUGCACUCUAGCUCUAGGUAAUGUUCCUGUAUGGCCUAGCGGGGUCCUGGGUUAUGUGAGUACUAUGUUGGCAUGUGUAUACUGUAUGUCCACGCUGCACUCUAGCUCUAGGUAAUGUUCCUGUAUGGCCUAGCGGGGUCCUGGGUUAUGUGAGUACUAUGUUGGCAUGUGUAUACUGUAUGUCCACGCUGCACUCUAGCUCUAGGUAAUGUUCCUGUAUGGCCUAGCGGGGUCCUGGGUUAUGUGAGUACUAUGUUGGCAUGUGUAUACUGUAUGUCCACGCUGCACUCUAGCUCUAGGUAAUGUUCCUGUAUGGCCUAGCGGGGUCCUGGGUUAUGUGAGUACUAUGUUGGCAUGUGUAUACUGUAUGUCCACGCUGCACUCUAGCUCUAGGUAAUGUUCCUGUAUGGCCUAGCGGGGUCCUGGGUUAUGUGAGUACUAUGUUGGCAUGUGUAUACUGUAUGUCCACGCUGCACUCUAGCUCUAGGUAAUGUUCCUGUAUGGCCUAGCGGGGUCCUGGGUUAUGUGAGUACUAUGUUGCCUCGUCUAUGCCCUGGUUUGUAUUUCACUAUAUAAGCCACCGGCUUCCCAUACUGACAGUUGAUGAUGUCAUGGAAACUACUCUUUGAGUACACUUAAACAUUUGAGAAU